rnacentral:rRNA from 1 species
UACGGAGGGUGCAAGCGUUAUCCGGAUUUACUGGGUUUAAAGGGUGCGCAGGCGGAUAUGUAAGUCAGUGGUGAAAUCUCUGGGCUUAACCCGGAAAUUGCCAUUGAUACUAUAUAUCUUGAAUGCUGUGGAGGUAAGCGGAAUAUGUCAUGUAGCGGUGAAAUGCUUAGAUAUGACAUAGAACACCUAUUGCGAAGGCAGCUUACUACGCAGAGAUUGACGCUCAUGCACGAAAGCGUGGGGAUCAAACAGG